rnacentral:rRNA from 1 species
GCCUACCAUGGUUUUAACGGGUAACGGGGAAUUAGGGUUCGAUUCCGGAGAGGGAGCCUGAGAAACGGCUACCACAUCCAAGGAAGGCAGCAGGCGCGCAAAUUACCCAAUCCCGAUACGGGGAGGUAGUGACAAUAAAUAACAAUACAGGGCUCUUAUGGGUCUUGUAAUUGGAAUGAGUACAAUUUAAAUCUCUUAACGAGGAACAAUUGGAGGGCAAGUCUGGUGCCAGCAGCCGCGGUAAUUCCAGCUCCAAUAGCGUAUAUUAAAGUUGUUGCAGUUAAAAAGCUCGUAGUUGAAUUUCGAAAUUUUUUUAUCGGUUGAAUCAACGGGUUCGUACUGAUUUUAAGAAUUUCUACCUUCUGGAGAACCUUAAUGUCAUUAAUUUGGUGUUUUGGGAAACCAGGACUGUUACCUUGAAAAAAUUAGAGUGUUUAAAGCAGGCUUAUGUCUGAAUAUAUUAGCAUGGAAUAAUGAAAUAGGACGGCAUGGUUCUAUUUUGUUGGUUUCUAGGAUCACCGUAAUGAUUAAUAGGGAUAGUUGGGGGCAUUAGUAUUCAAUUGUCAGAGGUGAAAUUCUUGGAUUUAUUGAAGACUAACUUCUGCGAAAGCAUUUGCCAAGGAUGUUUUCAUUAAUCAAGAACGAAAGUUAGGGGAUCGAAGACGAUUAGAUACCGUCGUAGUCUUAACCAUAAACUAUGCCGACUAGGAAUCGGACGAAGUUAAUUUUUUAAUGACUCGUUCGGCGCCUUACG